CCUUCUUCCUCCGCCCAGCCGCCACAGUGAUUGUCGUCAAGUCUGCCACAGGAGGAUAUUUUGUUCUGGGUUAACCUGCUUUUCUACCUCGCAGGUUGUUUAUCAAUAUUUGUGUAAUUUUAUUUACUCCUAGAAUUUCCGCAUGUGUUAGCAGUAAUUAUUUGAAUUUGGUCUGUAAUAUUAUAUUCAUGUUGGACCUGUAAACUUAAUAUUUUAAGUCUAUUUUGAUGGAUUGGAUGAGGGAGCUGAGCUCCCAUUUAUUAUUAUGUUGAUGAGUAUGUGGAGGGUGAGCUGAGCUCCCCAAUGGAUUGUUUAUUGUGUUUACAGGUCGGGUGAGUCGAAAACUCCCCGUUGGAAAGUCCAUUUUAUGGUCGGACUCCGUCCGUUUGUUUUCUUGAAUUUGGGCCCAAUGGGCCUUAGAGUU